GCGUGACAUUACCAGUAGGUGUGAAGGCCUGGCUUCGCGGCCGGCUGAAAUAUUUUUUCACCCAUGUCUUUUGCGCACUUGUUGUUUCCUGGGCGGGUUCGCCCGCCACCAGGACCAAACCAUAAACCUUUUUCUUAUGCAGUUUCCAUCAACGUCAGUAAAAACAAUGUAAUAAUUACAACUUUCAACAACGGAUCUCUUGGUUCUGGCAUCGAUGAAAAACGCAGCGAAAUGCGAUACGUAAUGUGAAUUGCAGAAUUCAGUGAAUCAUCAAAUCUUUGAACGCACAUUGCGCCCUUUGGUAUUCCAAAGGGCAUGCCUGUUCUAGCGUCAUUUGUACCUUCAAGCUUUGCUGGGGGUUGUUGCGUUUUUGACUCCCUCUUUACGGAAGACUGAUGGAAACUGCAUUGGAAACCGGCUAUGGUUUGGUCCAGCGCAGCACAUUAUUCGCGCUUUGAAUCAGGAGAAAGGACGGACUCCAUCGAAAAAAUAUUUCUUUUAGCUUUUAACCUCGGAUCUCGUAUUUAUACCCGCUAAACUCCUCAUACGUUCAACCUGAAGGAA
rnacentral:rRNA from 1 species